UUAGUGGCGGACGGGUGAGUAACGCGUGGAUAACCUGCCGUAUACAGGGGGAUAACACUUAGAAAUAGGUGCUAAUACCGCAUAAGCGCACGGUUCCGCAUGGAACAGUGUGAAAAACUCCGGUGGUAUACGAUGGAUCCGCGUCUGAUUAGCCAGUUGGCGGGGUAACGGCCCACCAAAGCGACGAUCAGUAGCCGGCCUGAGAGGGUGAACGGCCACAUUGGGACUGAGACACGGACCAAACUCCUACGGGAGGCAGCAG
rnacentral:rRNA from 1 species